AGUGACAUCGAAGAUGUCCUGUACUUUGUUGAAAGGUUUCCCCAUCUCCUCCCAUACCAUGGGCCAGAGGAGCAUGACCUUCUGGGUGAGGAGUUUCUAAAUUAUCAGACCAUGCCAAUGAUAUUCCUGCAGGACGAAACUGAAAUGGAAAGCUUCUGGGCUGAAAUGGCAACCCGGAAGCAUAAGGUGACAGGAGCCAAAGAAUUCGAGAGGCUUGCUGCUGUCGCCA